rnacentral:misc_RNA from 1 species
AGGCUUUCACCAGCUUCUUAGAAGAAAAUAAAUCUUAAUUCACAAAAUACUUCGAUUCACUAAGGAAGAUUAGAAACACAGGACCAGGUAGGUUGAUGGAUAGAGAUAGAGAUAGGUAACUUCUUCCAAGUAUAAAGAAAACAUGUAUCUGCAGUCAUUUCUGCUUUUGCUUUUAUUAAGGAUUUCCAUGGUUUUGGUAAAAUAUGUUUCACAGGUCUGCAAUAUCUAAAGAGAUAUCCCCA